GUCAGUCGAGGAGAUUGACUCCGAAGGAUGAUCGCGGCCUUAUCUUCCUUUAUUGUUUUUGUUUUUCUUUGCGCACUUGUAACCGGGCUUCGGUCCGAUUUUGUAAUCAAAUGAACUUAAGAAAUUUUCAGUUCCCUUUUCGACUUCCUUUUCUUGCCUGUUGGGAUGUACUUGUAAUCGUGGGGUCAUAAGGUCGGAGAGCCGCAGCCUUGGCGUGCCGCAUUAGGACACCCAACGUCAUCCCGAGUCGUUAGUCGAGAUAGUCGGUGGUUCGGUAUAGGGUAAGCAAGACGAACCCCGAUC
rnacentral:lncRNA from 1 species